GCGAUUUAUUGCUUUCUAUGUGACGAGUUGCCAUUCUCAUUUUCAUUUUAACUAGCAUUUCUAUUUCAGUGAUUGAUAUUGAUUGCUUGUGUUAGCACUUCUAGUCCAACAACUGACUCCAUACAUCACUUGGGCAAGGUGUAGUGUAAAGAGGUAAUAUAACUUGUGACUUAUUAAUAAUUAAUGUAUUUAUUUUAAUGCCCUGUCUGUCUGUCUAUGCAUACUAUGGAAAUGAAAG